UACAGAGGGUGCGAGCGUUAAUCGGAAUUACUGGGCGUAAAGCGUGCGCAGGCGGUUUGCUAAGACAGGUGUGAAAUCCCCGGGCUUAACCUGGGAAUUGCGUUGGAGACUGCAAGGCUAGAAUCUGGCAGAGGGGGGUAGAAUUCCACGUGUAGCAGUGAAAUGCGUAGAGAUGUGGAGGAACACCGAUGGCGAAGGCAGCCCCCUGGGUCAAGAUUGACGCUCAUGCACGAAAGCGUGGGGAGCAAACAGG
rnacentral:rRNA from 1 species